rnacentral:rRNA from 1 species
UGAAUACGAGACGCUAAGGCGUCGAAGUAGUGUAUGUCAUACUUCCAAGAAAAGCUUGCACUGUCAUAGAUAAAAAACGCCUGUACCAUAACCGACACAGGUGGGUAGGUAGAGUAUACUAAGGGGCGCGAGAUAUCUCUCUCUAAGGAACUCGGCAAAAUAACUCCGUAACUUCGGGAGAAGGAGUGCCUUAUUCUUAAGGUUGCAAUAACAAGAUCCAAGCAACUGUUUAUCAAAAACACAGGUCUCCGCUAAGUCGUAAGACGAUGUAUGGGGGCUGACGCCUGCCCAGUGCCAGAAGGUUAAAGAAGCUGGUUAGCAUUUGCGAAGCUAGUAACUGAAGCCCUGGUGAACGGCGGCCGUAACAAUAACGGUCCUAAGGUAGCGAAAUUCCUUGUCGGGUAUGUUCCGACCCGCACGAAAGGCGUAAUGAUUUGGAUACUGUCUCGGAGAGGGGCUCGGUGAAAUAGACUUGUCUGUGAAGAUGCGGACUACCUGCACCAGGACAGAAAGACCCUAUGAAGCUUUACUGUAACUUGAAAUUGAAAUUGGACUUUAUUCGCGCAGUAUAGGUGGGAGGCGUUGAUUAUAAUCUUGCGGGAUUAUUGGAGCCAUUAGUGAGAUACCACUCUUGUAAUGUUAGAUUUCUAACUUUGAAUCAUUAUCUGGUCAAAGAACAGUUUCAGGCGGGCAGCUUGACUGGGGCGGUCGCCUCCCAAACGGUAACGGAGGCGUACAAAGGUCUCCUCUGAACGGUUAGAAAUCGUAUCUAGAGUGUAAAGGCAUAAGGAAGCUUGACUGUGAGACCUACAAGUCGAGCAGGGACGAAAGUCGGUCUUAGUGAUCUGACGGUACUGAGUGGAAAGGCCGUCACUCAACGGAUAAAAGUUACUCUAGGGAUAACAGGCUGAUCUCCCCCAAGAGUUCACAUCGACGGGGAGGUUUGGCACCUCGAUGUCGGCUCAUCGCAUCCUGGGGCGGUAGUACGUCCCAAGGGUUGGGCUGUUCGCCCAUGAAAGCGGUACGCGAGCUGGGUUCAAACGUCGUGAGACAGUUCGGUCCAUAUCCGGUGUAGGCGUUAGAAUAUUGAGAGGAGCCUUCUUUAGUACGAGAGGACCGAGAAGGACAUACCUCUGGUGUACCAGUUAUCGUGCCAACGGUAGACGCUGGGUAGCUAUGUAUGGAGUGGAUAACCGCUGAAAGCAUCUAAGUGGGAAGCCCACCUCAAGAUGAGUGCUCUCACUACGUUAAGUAGGUAAGGUCACGGAAAGAACAUCCGUUAAUAGGCGUUAGGUGGAAGUGCAGCAAUGUAUGCAGCC